CGCACCCAUGGCGAAAUUGGUAGACGCAAGGGACUUAAAAUCCCUCGCCGCAAGGCGUCCCGGUUCGAUUCCGGGUGGGUGCACCA
rnacentral:tRNA from 3 species